UUUUAGCCUUUGGAUCAACUCUUUUCAUUAUUUCUAACCAUUGGAUUAAAUACUAUAACCCAGUGGGGACCACUCAACCCUAGGGGGACUACUCAACUCUAACCGACUAAUAUCAUCCUAACCUUACAAUUUUUCAUCCAAGGGUUAAAAACUUGAUAGUAAAAAGAGCGUUUUACUAUUAAUAGUAUUCCAGCCUAAUUCAUAUAUAUAUAUAUAUAUAUUAUGCUAGUUUUAAAAAUAUGCAUGAGUUGUUUGUUUAAUUUAUCCUUUGUGGGUGUAUUAAAAUGCUUAUGUAGCAUGUGAUUGUAUAUUUUUUUGGCAUGUAAGUGCUUAUGUUAUUUCGGUAUUUUAUAACAAAAUUUAAUUUUGGAAAAACAGGUUCGAUGUGUGCAGCAUUCCUGUAGAUCAUUCCUUUUCUGAUGUACAUCUUGUAGUGAUGUAGUAGGUUUUAAUUCCGCAAAUGGUGAUGUAUUAAUUAAGGCCAUGUAAAAGAAUGUGUUUUUGCGCAGCGUCGACGUUUUUCAAAUUAAAUUUUGGCAUAAAUACUUAUUUUUUUAUCUGUGUGAUGAUAUUAUGAGAUAAGUUCUCUUUAUGUAAAUAUUUUUCAAGAAAAAGAUGUGUUCUUUCACAAUGGAAGAAUUUUUGGACAAGUUUCAAAAUUAAUAGAAAAUUAAUAAGAUUGUAAUAUUUUGAACUGACACUGGGUGAUGAUUACGAGCAUAGCGAAA
rnacentral:lncRNA from 1 species